GACGAACGCUGGCGGCGUGCUUAACACAUGCAAGUCGAACGAGUGGCGAACGGGUGAGUAACACGUGGGUGAUCUGCCUUGCACUUCGGGAUAAGCUUGGGAAACUGGGCCUAAUACCGGAUAGUGCAAGAUGAGCUCGGGGCCAAUCAGCUUGUGGGUGGGGUAAUGUCUACCAAGGCGCGACGGGUAGCCGGCCUGGGAGGGUGUACAGGCACAGUGGGACUUGGGUACGGCCAGGGGGGAUACGGGAGGAAGGAGUGGGGAGUUGUGCGAGAUGAGCGGAAGCCUGAUGCAGGGACGCCGGGUGGGAGAUGAAGGCCUUCGGGUUGGAAACUCCUUUCGGCGAGGAGGCGGUACCUGAAUAGAAAGCACCGGCUAACUACGUGCCAGCAGCCGCGGUAAUUC
rnacentral:rRNA from 1 species